GGAGCCCUCAGCGGCCACACGUGUGACGCCAAGUGCCUAUAACAGCGGUCCCUCGAGUGUAUGCACUUGGGGAGCAUUUGCACACGUGCCCCUCAUUCAGUUCUUAUUUCAGUCCCGUCCGGCCUAGUUUCUCCAAAGACAGACACCCGAGUCAUCACACAGGGGGGGAGCCCG